AUAUUAUGAUUUUUAAAAUUCCAGCCAACAGGAUUUUUUCAUAUCAUUGAAGCGGUGUAUUUGCUGACAGGAAGGGACGGACGAAAAGGCCCGGGCUGUAUUUACACAGAGGGAAUGUGAGAUUAAAUUAUGAAUAAUGUGUGAGAGAGAAAGCGAGGUAGGUAAAGGCGAACGCGGGAGGGCGGCAACAGAUUCCCCGAGGACUUUCCGCUGGGUUUAACCCACUGAGGCGGAACUGAACGGACAGCUCCGGUUAAAUAAGAACAAAUUUACUUUUCCUUCUUUCUCUGGGGAUGGAUCCAACCACAAUAGCUGAUAUCUUUGUUUGCUCGCUGCAGUCGGACACACAAAAUGACGUAGCCUACACCCAAUAAACACCCGCUGGUUUAGACCAGUUUCAACCGGCUUAAAUUCCAAUAUGAACUGCACUUUCUAAUGUAAAUAUGUUUAUAAUUCGUUCUAGAGACUGAAUCUAACCUCCGUUUUACUUUGGUAUUCCUCCAGUGCAUGAGAGCAGUCUGUUUGUUUACCGCCGGUCAUUACAGCAUCUCGUCUCUCCGCUGAUAUCCCCCGCUGAGGCCUGGAGGAAAAACACUUAUCUACGGAGGGAAAUGUCAACCUGUGUCGGAGCAGCCGCAGAGAAUAUACAGGCUUUAAGGGCCACAAAGCACAGCGGUGACAGGCUAAUCAGGAAAUGAUCAGGAUGUUUUGAAGAACAUUUUGAAGCAGAACUCUUGUAAGUUUUCUGAGCGAUGAAACGGCAACCUCUGAACAUUAAAAUCAGCCUCUAGAUAAUACAAGAAUUUCAAUGAAUAUUUAGAGAGAGAAUGCCAGACAAGUGACCGGAAAAGAAGACCUCGCCGGUCAACAUCUGACGAAUUUCCUCAUUUUCAGGUUCCAUUUCCAUACUAUCCUUGAGAACUGUCAGCUUUAAUGGUAAUUAGUGGUAUUUUCUAAGUCCUGUGAAGCGCAGCGAGGCUCUGAAAUAGCCUCAACUGAUGCAGAUUGCUGUUUGUAGCUGCAGCCCUGAAAAGCACUUAAAAGUCUGAUGAAGACACUGCAGUAGCAUUUCAUUUAGCAUUGCUGGAGUGUGAGACGCCUAGUGCUGAAGGCUGAGAGAUGUGAAACCCAAUCAGUAGAGGGAGGACAUUCAAGACAGGCUGGUCAAAUCAUAGCUGUUUGAAAUGGAAUCCUGGUGUAUUUUUAUGGCUUACUGUGCAAAUGCAUACUGACAAUAUCUGAGUUCUGUGGCUUUUAGUUUUUGUCUCUCUGCUCUGAAGCCGUCUAUAAGCUAAUAUACUGUACAUAUAGACCUUGACAGUCACCGUGAUUUUGCCAAGUAAGACAUGUUCCUGGAUCAACAUCUUUGUUGAUCCUGGAACAACAUUCCAAUCAACCAAUCAGAUUUGAGGGAAAAGUUUACCGUUUAUUCCAAGUUUAGGCUUGCAACCAGGGUUAGGUGCUUCUACACCAAUGUUAUUCACCUAUCUUUCCCC